rnacentral:rRNA from 1 species
AUUGAACGCUGGCGGCAGGCUUAACACAUGCAAGUCGAGCGGGCGGCGGACGGGUGAGUAAUGUCUGGGAAACUGCCUGAUGGAGGGGGAUAACUCCUGGAAACGGUAGCUAAUACCGCAUACCAUCAGCUGUGCCCAGCUGGGAUUAGCUAGUAGGUGGGGUAAUGGCUCACCUAGGCGACGAUCCCUAGCUGGUCUGAGAGGAUGACCGGCGAGACUGAAGCUGAGACACGGUCGAGAGUCUGAUGGUAGGUCGGAGUGCGGAAUAGGGGAGAAUGGUCGCAAGCCCGAUGCAGCCAUGCCGCUUGUGGGAAUAUGGCCAGCGGGUGGGUUUGCACUUGCAGCGAGGAGUCGUUACUCUCAGAAGAAGCACCGGCAAACUCCGUGUGAGCAGCCGCGGUAAUAC